rnacentral:lncRNA from 1 species
GUCACCCAUGGGUGCAGAUUGUGGCAUGUUGGGAAGCCUGGAUGAGGUUGUGCCACGCCGGCUGCUAAAGAUUUUGGGACAGCAGCUCUGGUUCCCCCUUUUCAUUUUGAAACACAACUUUUGGGUUUAAAAAUGGGCAGCGUGGCUCAAACGCUCCAUGUUCGGGUUGUUUGCCCCCAAAUCCUGGCAGCAUCCUGCUUCUGCUGGACCCCAUCCAAAUCCCCCCCAUGCUGAGACACUCGGCUGCUGGAAACAAAUCCCAAAUCCCCCAAAUCCUGCAGAGUGUCCCCAGCUUGUCCCCCGCACAGACACACAGGACUCGUGUCCCUUAGGCAAGGUUUUAGCAGGAUUUUAGUGCUGGGAGGGGAUUUGUUCACUUUGCUCCUUGCUCGGUGCCAUUUGGAGGCUGCUUUGGUUUGGAGAGGGGGAGUGGGGUGUCCCUGGGCUCUCCUCGCCUCCCACCCCAAAACGUCCUCCCCGGGCUGGGGACACACGGGGCAGGAUGUGGCCAGGCCCUGUGCCCUAUGGUGGCUUCAGUGCAGCCCUGCAAAGCGCCACCACGGCCAGGAGAACGCGCUUGUCCUGGUGGCAGGGAACUGGCCUGGCCCCUGGCAUGGUGCUAACUGGGCUGGGGGCUGCUGGGAGCAACUGGGAGCAACUGGGAAUGGAGAGAACUUGUUGCACAGCCCUGUGGUGCCAUAUCCUGGGGCUGGGCAUUGUCCCUGGGGCUGGGCAUUGUCCCCAGGGCUGCCAGCAGAGCCAUUUUUGCUAUUAUUAUUUGGGAUUAUUUGGGAUUAUUUGUUUUUUAGCCCCAAUUUUGCUGCGCUGGGAGGGUGCCGGUGUCCGUACCUGGGCAGAUUUCACCCUCUGGGGAUAAAACAAACAAACUCGGGGUGCAGCAGCCGCAGGGCAGCCGGGCUGGAGGUGGAUUGCAAAAUUCCCCCCCCCCCCCCAACCCCAGCUGGAGGAAAAACCUUUUCCUGCAGAGCCAGGGCUGGAGGCAAACAAGGGCCCUUUCAUCCCCUGGCAGCACCGCGUCCCCACGGGCACCCAGCGCCGCGUCCCGCGCCUGCACCCGCCGCCCCAUGCACAUUUUCCUUUUUUUUGUGCCCUUUUGGGUUUGUUUUUAUUUUUUUUCCCCCUUCGCUCGCUGCAAGCCACGGCUGUGCCUCCUGCUACCUGCCCCCCCCNNNNNNN